rnacentral:rRNA from 1 species
ACUCAAAUGAAUUGACGGGGACCCACACAAGCGGUGGAGCAUGGGGUUUAAUUCGAUGACAAGCGAAGCACCUCACCCAGACUUGACAUGGUUGGAAUCCUGUAGAAAUACGGGAGUGCCGCAAGGAACCAACACACAGGCGCUGCACGGUCGUCGUCAGCUCGUGCCUUGAGGUGUACUGUUCAGUCAGCCAACGAGCGCAACCCUCAUCCUAUGUUGUUAUUUCAUAGGAGACUGCCGCCUCCAAGGCGGAGGAAGGUGAGGAUGACGUCAGAUCAGCGUGGCCUUUAUGUCUGGGGCAACACCCGUGCUACAAUGGCCGGUACAAACGGUAGCGAACUCGCGAGAGGGAGCAAAUCCGAGAAAGCCGGUCUCAGUUCGGAUUGAAGUCUGCAACUCGACUUCAUGAAGUUGGAAUCGCUAGUAACCGUGAAUCAGCUACGUCACGGUGAAUAUGUUCCUGGGUCUUGUACACACCGCCCGU